ACCAUCAUUUGUAUCGAGGGGGCCCAAAUGCAUAACAAUGUCUAGUGUUAAAUAAUGACAGCUGCUGUAUCUCAUUGCUCUUGCAGUCACUUUUCACUCAUCAGGGUUUCCACAAACAUCUCCAGCCUCGGUUACACUGCUGUCACCUUCAGACUAUUUCUCAUUUCUAAACAAGCCUGAACCAGCAUGGGAACUGAUUGUGGUCACAGCUGGUCUUUUUCAGCAGGGAUAUAAAUGUGAAUGCCAAGAAGACAUGUCAUGGUUUAUUUUGCUGUGAUGUUCAGCUGACUGCACAAUAUCCUUUACUGCUAUGACUGAUUCAGCUUUUUUUUUUCUUUUUUUUUUUGUCAUUCAGUCUUGGCAGGGGCUGGGUUCAGCAGUGCUGUAGUACAAUAUGUGAGCAUCUCUAGGUCAAUGAUGGUGCAGUCAGCGCUGGAGAAGAAUUGGAAUGAGGGAUUAUGAAGGACUGUUAGUGCUCCUCCAUCCGUCCGCUCCCUCGGGACACGCACAUUAGAAAGGCCUGAGAAAAUCAAACAGCACUAGUCUCUGGCUCUCAUAAGCCAGAAUCCCAGAGGUCUUUAAAGAAGGAAGAUGUACGGAUGAAGAAAACAGUGAGAUGGUGUCUCAGCAGGUUCGGCAGUCGAUGGCUGUGAACAAUGCUCCUGUGGGAUCUCCACACCCACAGCCUCCAAAGAAGCGAGCAUGCGUCCCAGCGGCCUACUCCUCCAUCCUCUGCGUCUCCUGAGCUACAAGACUGCUGGAGCCUGAAGCUGCCCACCCUCCUGCACCUUUGACCCUCCAAACAACCACAAACACUGACUCACUGAAGACUCCUCAUGCCUUCCGACAAACCGCAAACCUCCACACUUCGUGAUUUUUAACAGCUUCUGAUCGAGGAAUUAAAGGAGCUGUGGAGCGGAAUCAAAGAACUGCAUCAGAUAUCAUAUUUACUUUGGCCGAACUGCACACACAAGAUCAAAGGCAGCGAAGGAUACAUUACGCUCCCUUCUAAAAACCAGCUAUACAAAGGCAUCUCGGUAGGCAGGAUGUUAUGUGAAACAUUGAAUUCGGAUGAGUCUUGAUGUUUUCCUACUGCCGUAUACAGCCGGAGAAGGCAGCGUUAUCCAUCUUUCAGACACAGCCUUUGGGUCCAGCAUGCAUGUAUUAUGGGAAAGUAAUCGUGCACUGGAUCUUGUUUUCUUUCAUGUGGCUUUUAAUAAUGUAUGUCAAGCAAGUGCAUGUUGUCAAGCAAGCAAAAUUCAGCCUGCUUAAAAAAUGUUUACACAACAGCGAAUUACACACUAUGCCUAUUUCUACGGCAGAAAUUAUUUGCCUAACAUUGGCAAAAGACUACCUGCCAAAAAAAGAAA